rnacentral:lncRNA from 1 species
UACUACCACCUUUUUUAACUCUUUUUUCUGAUUUAGUUGCAAAUAAAUUUUUUGUCAUGUGUUGAUUUCUUCUAUUUUUAUUAUUUUUUAUUUUAUUUUCUUUUUCAUUGUGUUAUAUGUUUUAGGAGAAUAACUUUAUGUUAUUUCUCUAACAUGUUUUAAGCACAUAAAUUUUGGCAUGACGUAACGCUAAAUUAUCCCGAUUCGAUUAUUCUAAUCACUAACCAAUAACUAUUUAUUU